GGUUUCUUGGCGCAGUUGGUCAGCGCGUCUCCUUAACAAGCCAUGUACAGCUCGACUGUGCGGGACGUUAAUCGGAGGAGGUCCUCAGUUCGAGCCUGGGAGAGAUCA
rnacentral:tRNA from 1 species